rnacentral:rRNA from 1 species
UACGUAGGUGGCGAGCGUUGUCCGGAUUUACUGGGCGUAAAGAGCGCGCAGGCGGUCGUACAAGUCGCGUGUGAAAGCCCCCGGCUCAACUGGGGAGGGUCACGCGAUACUGUUCGACUCGAAGGCAGGAGAGGGAAGCGGAAUUCCCGGUGUAGUGGCGAAAUGCGUAGAUAUCGGGAGGAACACCAGUGGCGAAGGCGGCUUCCUGGCCUGUUCUUGACGCUGAGGCGCGAAAGCUAGGGUAGCAAACGGG